rnacentral:rRNA from 1 species
GGAGGGAGCGAGCGUUGUUCGGAAUCACUGGGCGUAAAGCGCGCGUAGGCGGUCGAGUAAGUCGGGUGUGAAAUUCCGGGGCUCAACCCCGUGGACUGCACUCGAUACUGCUCGACUUGAGAGAGGUAGGGGCGAGUGGAAUUCCCGGUGUAGCGGUGGAAUGCGUAGAUAUCGGGAAGAACACCGGUGGCGAAGGCGGCUCGCUGGGCCUCAUCUGACGCUGAAGCGCGAAAGCGUGGGGAGCAAACAGGAUUAGAUACCCUGGUAGUCCACGCCGUAAACGAUGGGUACUAGGUGUUGGGAGGAUUGACCCCUUUCAGUGCCGACGCUAACGCAUUAAGUACCCCGCCUGGGGAGUACGGCCGCAAGGCUG